GCACUCGUAGCUCAGCUGGAUAGAGCAUCGGAUUUCGAUUCCGAGGGUCGGGCGUUCGAAUCGCUCCGAGUGCACCA
rnacentral:tRNA from 11 species